ACCCAGACUCCUACGGGAGGCAGCAGUGGGGGAUAUUGCACAAUGGGGGGAACCCUGAUGCAGCGACGCCGCGUGGGUGAAGGAGCGUUUCGGCGCGUAAAGCCCUAUCGGCAGGGAAGAAGGAGGACGGUACCUGACUAAGAAGCCCCGGCUAACUACGUGCCAGCAGCCGCGGUAAUACGUAGGGGGCAAGCGUUAUCCGGAUUUACUGGGUGUAAAGGGGGCGCAGACGGCGAUGCAAGCCAGGAGUGAAAGCCCGGGGCCCAACCCCGGGACUGCUCUUGGAACUGCGUGGCUGGAGUGCAGGAGGGGCAGGCGGAAUUCCUGGUGUAGCGGUGAAAUGCGUAGAUAUCAGGAGGAACACCGGUGGCGAAGGCGGCCUGCUGGACUGAAACUGACGCUGAGGCACGAAAGCGUGGGGAGCGAACAGGAUUAGAUACCCUCGUAGAG
rnacentral:rRNA from 1 species